rnacentral:rRNA from 1 species
AACGAACGCUGGCGGCAUGCCUAACACAUGCAAGUCGAACGGGAUCCUGGCUUCGGCCAGGUGAGAGUGGCGGACGGGUGAGUAACGCGUGGGAACCUGCCCAUUGGUCUGGGAUAACUGCGGGAAACUGCAGCUAAUACCGGAUGUACCCGAGAGGGGAAAGAUUUAUCGCCGAUGGAGGGGCCCGCGUCAGAUUAGGUAGUUGGUGAGGUAACGGCUCACCAAGCCUACGAUCUGUAGCUGGUCUGAGAGGAUGAUCAGCCACACUGGGACUGAGAUACGGCCCAGACUCCUACGGGAGGCAGCAGUGGGGAAUAUUGGACAAUGGGGGGCAACCCUGAUCCAGCAAUGCCGCGUGAGUGAUGAAGGCCCUAGGGUUGUAAAGCUCUUUUACCAGGGAUGAUAAUGACAGUACCUGGAGAAUAAGCUCCGGCUAACUCCGUGCCAGCAGCCGCGGUAAU